GCGUUCCAAUUCAGAAAAUCACCAAACAGAAAAAGAAAAAAAAAUAUAGCCGAAUUUUCAUUUUCGAGGGUCCAAGAAAUUAACAGAAUAAAAUUUCCUCACUGAAUUUUCGAAGAAAAAAGGAAAAUACAGAGAGCGAGAAAAUUAUCCGAAAAUAGAGAAGGGAGGUUAAAGAUAUUUGGUUUCCAUUUUCUGGCAAAAAGAUACCAACACCUCGUCUCUCUUUUCACUUUAUUCUUCAGCUUUGGCUUCUCUUAGGGUUUUUGAGCUUGACGAUUCUUCCAGUUUUGACUGCCUCUGAGACUUAUUGCGUCAGAGAAUUGAACCCUCCGGGUUUCGCCGUCUGGUGUGGAAACUGCUUUUUCGGAGCCACUUCAGGUACUUGCACGUGGUUCCUCACUGAACAAAUUCCUUUAUAGAGCGUCGUCUAGAGUUGGUUGAAUGAAAUCAGUAUAGGCAGCAUGGAUGA